CGCUGGCGGCGUGCUUAACACAUGCAAGUCGAACGAUGAAGCCCAGCUUGCUGGGUGGAUUAGUGGCGAACGGGUGAGUAACACGUGGGUGAUCUGCCCUGCACUCUGGGAUAAGCCUGGGAAACUGGGUCUAAUACCGGAUAUGACCUCUUGCUGCAUGGCGAGGGGUGGAAAGUUUUUCGGUGCAGGAUGAGCCCGCGGCCUAUCAGCUUGUUGGUGGGGUAAUGGCCUACCAAGGCGACGACGGGUAGCCGGCCUGAGAGGGCGACCGGCCACACUGGGACUGAGACACGGCCCAGACUCCUACGGGAGGCAGCAGUGGGGAAUAUUGCACAAUGGGCGAAAGCCUGAUGCAGCGACGCCGCGUGAGGGAUGACGGCCUUCGGGUUGUAAACCUCUUUCAGCAGGGACGAAGCGAAAGUGACGGUACCUGCAGAAGAAGCACCGGCCAACUACGUG
rnacentral:rRNA from 1 species